AGAAGGAGCCCCAUCCAUCUAUCACACGUGUAGACAAAGGGGGACUCCACAACACACAGCGCAGAGAUGUGCCCUCACAAAGUUUUUCCACGACGCACGGGGACGCGCACACAGCAAACCAUCCCCCAGGUGGGAUUUUAACACAGAUUAACCGGCAAAUCUUUUGCUCCCUGGGGAGGAAGAAAUACAAAUAUGCAAAAAUCACAAGGAGGAUGCAGAAAGUCACCUAUCAAGCCACUUUUAAGACGAAGAUGAGGAUUAAGAGACUGUGCGGCUUUCUUUGGGGGAGAAGGUAGAGACUUAUCAUAUAAGGAUUUAGGCUUCAGCAGCAGCAGUGCCAGUUGGAUUGCAUUUUAGGCACACUUGGAAAUCUAAAAGUCAUGGAGAGACUUUCGUGGAUUAUAAAAAUAUGUGCAGUAAGUCUCUAGAAGACGAGUCCCAGGCCAGACUCCCUACGAUUGAAGGAUAUUUCACUUCUGAUCCUCUUCGGCCCUCCAUAUGUGCAGGGAAAACCUGAAUACAUAUAUGUGUUCGGAUCAGGGUGGUACAUCUGGAUUGCUAAUGUGACACAAUCCUGGAAAAGGAAAAAAGAAAACUGCAGCAAACCGUUCUUGGCAACCAGUGGUUCCUCGACUGAAUACUCGGGACUGCCUCCAAAACCAUUAUCAAGUCAGCAUGAAGUCAUUGUCUGAGCCAAGCCCGGUGAUGUCAUUUCCUUCAUAAACAACUCCAGUUUCCUCUUGAGGGUCCAUAUCUGCUGAGUUUGCCAUGGUGUGUGGGUGUUGUGAGGUCUGAGAGAUCAUGACCUUAAUUCUCUCCAAGACAGACGGUUUAAUUAACACAUGAGGAUUCUUCACUGACUCCAGACUUCUGCAGCAAGAAUGUACUGAGGAGCUGGAUUGCACAGGCCCCAGCCAUUGUGGUCCACAUUGAAAGAAGACCACCUCACAGGGAUUUUCCUCUUCACCAGGUAGCCACAAAGAGGAAAAGAAGCACAUUAUCCACAUGUACAGCACCCUGCCCCUCCCACGCACACAAGCUCUCUGGGCUGCAUAAUGCUGACCACCAGCACUGCAGGAAACACAAGCACACACGCACACGCACACAGCAAAUAGCGUAUUAUCUUUAUGAGGUGUUAUACACCAGUGACCACCAACACAGGGUCUCAGUGUUCUCUAAUCCACAUUCUGGAUGAAAAGAGUGCCCCAUGCAGUGGAGGGAUUACAUUGUUGGAUUAAUAGAAGUUUUAAUUUGAGUCAUUAUAAGAGCCCUUGGUUAUAAGAACAGGUCAGGAAAGAAUAUCACUGUAUUUUAAAUGUAUUACAGAUGUACUGUACUACUUUUUUUCUUACUAAAGAUAGAUGAAAAAGAAAACUUUGUAUGUCUUUGAAGUUUACCGUUACCAGGAAAUAAUCUGUCAGUCCUCUCAAAGGCAGCUAGUUAACUGCAUUGCACGAAGGAAACAUAUUUGUAAGAUAAUGGAACAAACUAACAAAUGAAAGCCACUAUAUAUUCAUCAAAUUGUCACCAUUGUUUUUUUCUUUUCCAUUUGUCUUUUAUUGAUAAUGGGUACAAAUAAAUGAAAGCUUAUUUAAAAACCGGUCAAACAUUCUGCUAGAUACUAGUUAGAAACUUUUAUUUUGAAAGCAUUAAAUAUUUUUCAUGUCAAUCAACA